CUCCCAAAGUGCUGGGAUUACAGGCGUGAGCCACCGCGCCUGGCAUAAAUACGUAUUUUUAAAUACACAGCUGAGUUUAUUCUGGGAUGGGAAGAAGGGACUGGAAAAAUUCAAACAGUAAGAGUGAUGUGACUGGGUAUGCAUUGGAGACAGGAAGAGGAGGAAUGAGUCAAGUGCUGUAGAACUGAGAUUUCUACAUAAAGUCUGGGCCUUUAAAGGGACACAGGCAUAGGACAAUGAAGUUCUCUGCACUGGCUGCAGGUGGUGUAAGGUAUACCGAGGAAAAUAACCAGCUCUACAGAUUAAGUUAAUGGGCUCUGUGGACCUUUCCCAUCCCUCUGCCUGGGGUUCACCGUUCUCACUAGUCCUAAACCUUGGGCAGGUUACAUAACCUUAUGGUACCCCGUUUGCCUUGGUUGUGGUAUUGUGAAGAGCCGAUAAACCUCGUGCAUAUUAAGUGCUAAGUGUACAAAAGCAUGGAAGGGGCAAAUCAAAAGUGGAAAUAUGUUUUUCUCCCAGAGAUCAAGAUUUUUCCUUAAGAAAGUCAAGAUAUGGUUAUGCAUUAUCUGCCUAUUUAAUGAAAAAUAAACAUCUUUAGUUAUAAAGGACCAGGAUUUCAUAGCCUUAUCAAAUGCUAAUGAAAUGAGAAAAAAAAGUUUAAAAUUAGCAAAACGCUUAAAAUUUCCUCCAUAGUUAUAUCACUAAAAUAAUGGGGGGAAAUGUUCUUUUGAUAACUAUCAAGUUUUAUAUCCUUUCCUUAAUGCCACUGGCAGAGUUCAAAAACGGUUUUUAUUUGGGGAAAGCAAGAAACCAAAUAGGAUUAUAAAAUACCACAGGUACAGCCGGGCAUGGAUGUGCAUGCCCGUAGUGCCAGCUAC
rnacentral:lncRNA from 1 species